rnacentral:lncRNA from 1 species
ACUUGUUUAUAAGUGUAUCGCCGAGAAAUGUAUAAAAUAAUCGAGACCGGCGGAGGCAGGUCAGAGCCGUCUGGAAUGCGCGCACCUUCAACGAACAAUGCCAACAUUGAAGUCCUCGGUUGGAGUCUGCACAGUUGGAGAUCUUUGGUGCCAUUUUAGACAUCUUUGGAUUUCAUCAAUCAAACUGACUGCAAUUUUCCAUAAAAACCCUGAAUUUGGGUCAGAAAGUGGGCAAAGUAGAUAAAGAUCAUUCGAGCUGUCUUAUAAGAUGAUAAAUAGAUAUCCUUUCAGGCCAACAAUGCCAAAGUGCAGUUUUGUGAUUCCCUUCCAUGGGUUCUGAAUGCAGUGAGUCGAAACGAUUUCUACAUGUUUUCCCAUGGUUUAGGAGGUGUCUUUACAUACUUGUCAAUAGUAGCCUGACCUUUUUCCCCAUGGAGUUGCUAAGUGUGUUUUGUUUGUUGCUUUGAGUACUUUUUUCUUGUUGUUUGUGUGUGUGUUGCACAAAAUACACAAGAAAAUAAAGGUUUUUUUUCUUUUAUUGCUCAAAUCAAUAGGAUAUGGGUCUGAUCUAGAUAAUUCUCUGCAUAUAGACUGGUUUCAGUAGCCCUUGAGUUCAUGUAGAAAUUCCAUUUGCUCUGCAGUUGCUCUUGAGGCACUUUGGACACCAUUUUGGGCACCAUGCUGGGAUGUAAACUCACUUUCUUAACAACAACAACAACAACAACAAC